rnacentral:misc_RNA from 1 species
GGGGUAGUUCCGGAAUUCGACAGGUUAUUACAAGCAUGGAUUGCGUUCCCGUUUGUCGGGUUAAAGACUGCAGAUAUAACUGCAAAAAAUAAUGAACCAUCUUACGCAUUAGCUGCCUAAUCGCAGUAGCGUAGCCCUUUGUUGAGUCCACGGCAACAUUCUCGGCCUAAUUAGUGGAUUAGCUGCUGGCAUUUAUGUUCGGAAUAAAAGCAGUGAAACAAGAAUCGAACUAGCUCUCGAUUUGGAAGUUAGCAAC